GGAUUAAUACCCCAUGGUACUAUUUGAUCGCAUGGUCAGAUGGUUAAAGUUCCAACGNUAAAGGAUGGGCAUGCGUGACAUUAGAUUGUUGGCGGGGUAACGGCCCACCAAGUCUGCGAUGUCUAGGGGUUCUGAGAGGAUGAUCCCCCACACUGGUACUGAGACACGGACCAGACCCCUACGGGAGGCAGCAGUAAGGAAUAUUGGUCAAUGGACGCAAGUCUGAACCAGCCAUGCCGCGUGCAGGAAGACAGCCCUACGGGUUGUAAACUGCUUUUGUACGGGAAAAAACCUCCGGUCGUGCACCGGAGCUGAUGGUACCGUAAGAAUAAGCAUCGGCUAACUCCGUGCCAGCAGCCGCGGUAAUACGGAGGAUGCAAGCGUUAUCCGGAUUCAUUGGGUUUAGAGGGUGCGCAGGCGGAAUGAUAAGUCAGUGGUGAAAUCCUGCAGCUCAACUGUAGAACAGCCAUUGAAACUGCAUUACUUGAGUAAUCUUGAGGUAGGCGGAAUGUGUAGUGUAGCGGUGAAAUGCUUAGAUAUUACACAGAACACCGAUUGCGAAGGCGGCUUACUAAGGAUUUACUGACGCUGAUGCACGAAAGCGUGGGGAUCAAACAGGGUUAGAUACCCUGGUAGUCCACGCCGUAAACGAUGAUAACUCGCUGUUG
rnacentral:rRNA from 1 species